GACUUCAUCCGCUCCCUCGGCUACGCCCGCUCCCCUCCCCCCUCCGCCGCCUCCUGGUGGCGCACCACCGAGAAGUACAAGGGCGGCGGCUCCAACCUCGUCGUCGGGAGGCAGGUCCUCCACGAGGCGUACACCCUCGGGAAGUCCCUCAAGAACCGCCACCUCCGCGCCCUCGCCGGCAAGUUCAAUGCCGCCCCGGGCACCAUCACCGUAGUCCUCACGGCAGCGGACGUCGCCGUGGAGGGGUUCUGCAUGCGGUGCGGGACGCACGGGUCGGCGCGGCCCGGGUCGGCGUUCGUGUGGGUGGGGAACUCGGAGACGCAGUGCCCGGGGCAGUGCGCGUGGCCGUUCCACCAGCCCAUGUACGGCUCGCAGACGCCGCCGCUGGUGGCGCCGAGCGGCGACGUCGGGGCUGACGGCAUGGUGAUCAACCUGGCGACGCUUCUCGCCGGCGCCGUCACGAAUCCGUUCGGGAGCGGGUACUUCCAGGGCCCGGCGGACGCUCCGCUGGAGGCGGUGUCGGCGUGCACGGGGAUAUACGGGUCGGGCGCGUACCCGGGCUACCCAGGCCAGCUGCUGGUGGACAAGGCGACCGGCGCGAGCUACAACGGCCACGGGCUCGGCGGCCGGAAGUUCCUGCUGCCGGCGAUGUGGGACCCGGAGACGUCCGCGUGCAAGACCCUCGUGUGAUUUGGGCUGGGAAUGAGCGACGGUCGGUGUCGUCUGUCGUAAAAUUCGAGCGAUGUGGAAUAACGAUGAAUUCGCUCCUUUUUCUUUGGAGUUUCUCUUUUUUUCCCCCUUAAUUUUUCUUUGGCACCUGUUGUGGUAGGAGUUAAAAUUGGAUCUAAAAAAGGGAAGAAGAAAAUAUGUACAAAUUUCAAAAGUUCAAAUUGAGAGGUGGUGAAAUAUUGUCUUUAUAUAAAGAGUUUAAAACUCGAAUGUAAGUGAUGCACUCUUGGCUUCUUGUUCUUUGUUGAGACAGACAAACACAAUCAAAGCGGGUCACUAUAUUGCCUUAUUUAAUUCAAUUUACCUCUAGCCAUAAUUGGACUGCAAGUACUAGCUAGUUCUUAAUGAAAACUCGAAUUUAAGAGCUUAUUAAUUGACAAUAUUGGACCGCCAGGGAGUUCCUGGAAUUUAGAAGCUCCCCUUCUCCGGAUAGAGGGAUUUUCCCGAGUGGGCUAAUUACCAAUUAAGGACCCGCCACAUUUCUCGUGAAGGAGCUUCGAAGUCCCAAAAAAUUAUCUGGCCGACCAAAAAAAAUUCACAAUAUUGACUGAGCUAGUCAACCUCAGUACCUGGAGAUAUGCACAAAUUUUCAUCCUCUGCAAGAUAAUUUUUCUUCCUGUAACUGUAAGUACAAUUUCUCUCUCUAAAUUUGCUGAGAGUCCAAUUUAUCACAUGCAUUGAAGUCAAGCAAAACGAUGUCACGACAAGGAGGUGUGGCCCAAACUGAUUAUGAAGAGAGAUAAUGUAAGAUGUACAGACAAAGACAACCCUCGUUUAGGCAUUUAUAAGUGUAUGAAAAACAUUCAGGACCAAACUUGUCCUUUGGAAAGCUGCCGCACUAACAACAAGUACCUCAAAAAUUAAUUUACCAGAUUAAAAUAAUAUUAGUUUUGUUGAGUAGUCAGUCAAGUAAAGAUAUUUACAUAACAGGAUUGAUUAUUAUCAAUAAAAAGAAAUUACUAUUUCAAUUGUAACCCUGCUAUACGGAUUCCAAAUAAAGUCGUAAAACCCUUUAGUUAUUUUAGUGUAGCACUGAAUUUUUAUGGGAAAUUCUAAUUAAUCAUUCCGAUUGAUCUCGUCUAAAAUUUGCUAAUACGACGGUCCAGAAAUAUCCAUACAUGGCAAGUUCAAGAAAAUUAAGAAUUAGAGGGAUAAUGGUGAGGGGCAAAAUAUGUGAUGACAAACUUUAAGAAAGCAAAGCGGGUUUUGUUUUCCUCGACUCUUGACAACUCGGCAUUUUAGGGUGCGUUUGGCUGCACCGUGUUUCUGUUCCCAGGAGCAAAAAUUUCUGUUUUUUUGUUCUUUUGUUCCCAGGAACAAAAAAGAAACAGAAACAAGAAACACAAAUUUUGUGUUUCUUGUUUCUGAAACACUUUUGAGAAACACUUAUUUCUUAUUUCUUUUUUCUCUUAUUUUCUUGUUCUUUUUUUCUUUUGGCCGGUCGCCGGCCUCGGCCAUGGGCGGCGACCGGCCGACGAGGGCCGGCGGCCUCGCCCCNNNNNNNNNNNNNNNNNNNNNNNNNNNNNNNNNNNNNNNNNNNNNNNNNNNNNNNNNNNNNNNNNNNNNNNNNNNNNNNNNNNNNNNNNNNNNNNNNNNNUAUUUUUUCUAUUUUUUUCUAUUUUUUUCUUUUUUUUCCUUUUUUUCUUUUUCAUUUUUUUUCUUCUUUUGGCCGGUCGGCCUCGCCUGGCGGUGGCCCGGUGAGGCCGCGCCUCGCCCGCCGCUGGGCGAGCUCGGCCUCGCCGGAUCAAGGCGAGGCCGACCGGCCAAAAGAAGAAAAAAAAAUGAAAAAGAAAAAAAGGAAAAAAAAGAAAAAAAUAGAAAAAAAUAGAAAAAAUAAAAGAAAUAAAAAAAUUAUCCAAAUUUACCAAACAUGUUUCUGUUUAUUUUUUAUUCCCGGAACAAGUUUACCAAACGCGUUGUUUUGUUCAAAAAUUGUUCCCCGGAACAGAAACACUUUUUUCUAUUUCUAUUCCCUAGAACAAUUUUUAAACAGAAACGCAAACAAACGCACCCUUAGUCGCUAUUUUAGGUUUAGUUGUAUGCAAGUUGGCCACGAAGACACCACCCUUUGUAGUUAUAUCUAAGCGUGGAGAUAAUUUGAAAAAAAAAACUAAUUAAAGGUCGGGUUAUUUAGGGAUAUAACCCUAUUUCAUCUAAACUUAUUUGUUCUAUUUUGAUUAGAUAUUUUGUUUUAGUGAAAAAUAAAUACAAAUUUCGACCUCCCAAAGAAAAAAAGAAAUCUCUAAUUCGGUCACUGAUUGAACUAAUGAGACGCCACGCAAGCAAACUAAAGGCUACUUUAACUCAAGAAAAGACCCAAAUUGAAUGAAAAUCGGAGGCGAUGUAUUUAUUAUUGAUGAAUAUUAAAGGUGGUGCCGAUUUUUUUUAAAAAAAAAAUUGACAUAAAGGCACGGAUUCCGAUAAUAUAUUAGGUCACUCGUCAAUGGGAUUAUCAUCAUCUGCUUGAACCUCAAAUAUAAUCUAUGCGGUCCCUAUAACAAAAGAACUAUAUAAUAAUGCGACCUUAGGGAGAACAAAAAAAUAUUAUCGUAAUUAGGGGCUCCACUCUAUUCUCCCUAGGAGACAUUAUUUGAAUAAUAAAAGGGUGUUCGAAAGUACUGGCCAUGGUUGAAUCUUAUGACAUCAUCUAUCUUAUCAGUUCCUUUUCCAUAAUUAUUUAAUUCACAAGCAUUUAUACUGGUUUUUAUUGUCUUUUUUUUUUCUUGAUCCUAAUGAUAAUUGGUGAUCAGUGUUAGAGCAGGAUUAUGAACUCGUAACCUACCCUAUUAGAACUGAUUCUUAGCCACCUACUUGUAUGGAAAUGCUCAACUUCAUUAUUUAUUGUAUUCUCAAUCAAAAGACUCGUGGGGGGUUUGGUUUUGAAUCAAUUCGAAACCGAUUCUCAUUGAAAACUUGUUUUAAAACAGAAUAGAACAUUCAGAGUUGAGAAUUGGGAAUAGAAUCGUUCAUGGUUGAUUUCCAAAUCUUUUAAUAAAAAAUUGAGCCAGUUCUUGUGUGAAUCAACUUAAAAUCAGCUGCAUAAAAUCCGUUUGAUUAGUUUUUCAAUUAAACCUGUCCGGUUGCUUACCUCAUAUAGACAACUACUCACAAAUUUGUCAUACUUCAUUUAACCUAUUCUAUGUCGAACAGGAGAAUCAUUAUUUUCCACAACACUAUAACUUGACAGUGCCAAGAGUUAUGGCAAAGCCAAACCAUGCAUGAAGAGAAGCCACUUCAACACGGACCUACGAAAAAACAAUAAUUUAAUUUAGCUCGUCUAAUCCAAAAAUGUGUUCAUCUAAAAGGACCAAUAAUUGGAACCAUCCACAUCAGGAUGGUGACAAUUUUGAUCACGCGGACAUAGUUAUAUUCCUUUUCAAUAAAAUUAGUAAUUAUAGACACUAACUGUAUGGCAUUCACAUUGUGAUAAUGACAUCCUCCCAUUAAAACAAAAUAUAAUUAAUGAUUGCAUGGUCCGGCAAUGAUGGAUUGAAGUCAUCCACUACACAAGUCAUAAUUAUCGAUCAUAUCAAAAUAUUUAGACUUGCUACCUAAGACCUUAUUGUUCAUGCUCAUCGUUAAAUUCUAAUACCAUAAACUUUAUAUGUAGUUUGAAUUUUACAAUAUGCAUGAUCGUUUGUUUUCUAUUCUGACCAGUGAACGUGUAUUUCAAGGCUAUGGCUGGGAAGUGCGACAGCAAUUUUCUCUAACCUUAGACGGAACAAGAAAUAAGACAAAUCGUCUGAGUAUCCUUACAUCGCUUAUCUAAAGAAGUUAUACGUUUUUUAUAUACUUGUGGUGUUCCUUUACAAAUUAGUUCAAAUUUUACGUUUAUCUUUCUAACAUGUUAUUAGAGUCAAAUUUUGCCUUAGUUUAUCUCUCGUGUGUACCCUAUUCGCCAAAUUUCAUGUGUAGUUCUACAUUUCUUAUCUAUGGGACUUAUGUACUCUUAUAUACAUGGUUUUACUCUAUUUAUUAGCUUGAAUUUUUUAUAUUCAAAGGAAAAACAGGAAAGAUGAAAAUCAACUUUAAAAUUUAGGCAUUUUCUAUCCGAGUGUUCAUCUGUCACUCUCCAACAUAGCAUUGCAUUAUUACAACAAAAUGGGUCAUAUCAUUGUUGAUGACUUCGCUACGAGACAUCUUUUAUAAAAGAAAUGAAAUUUCAGUCACAAAUUAGGAAAAAUUUUAAAAUUUCUAUGAGAACGCGAGAAGGAAAAAAUGAAUUUAUUUUAAAAUUAUUCUACUCUCCUUUUCUAAACACAAGACUAAGGAUAUGUAAAACCAUACUUGACGGAAAAAAAUGUUAAGAAAAAAAUUGCUCUGUAACUGCACGUUAAGACGUAGCCAUGCCCUUCCUUCCCCCCCCCCCCCCCCCCCAUUUAGUGUAUUUGCAAUUUUGUGGAUAUAAAUGAUUUAAUUAGCUUAAAUUAGAGAAAUCAUGUUGAAGUCGAUGAUGAUCUCAAGUUUCGUCCGGUCAUCGGAUCGAUCAACUCGCAGCCUCCUAUAAAAAUUAGGUUUGCUGAAAUUCUACGACUUGUCCAUUCUCCAUCUAAAUUAGUGCCCCUUGAUUAGAAUUGGACUGACCUCUCUUGUGGUAGUUAUCUGCAAUUUUCAGCAACAAUAGUGGUUCAUAUUCAUGUACCCAUUCAUCAAGUAUAAUUUCAUAGUAUCUCGAUGUAAAUAUCAUGAAAAAGAAAGGGCAUAAAAUAUUAUAAAUGGCCCCACGACCAAAAAAUAAUGCUUCGAGAGAUUAUGAUUCAAGUUAUCUUAGUAGGGCAAAAGAUAAAAUGAAGCUAGAAAACUAUUGAGAAUUUUUUUAGAAAGAUUGAUUUAGAUUGAGCUUGAGGGACAGGUGACGAUUGAGUAGACUUGUUCUUCAAUAGACACGUGAUGGCUCGUUUGGUGGCUCAAGUUCAUCCUCUCUCUUUCGACCCUACCCAUAUUACAAUCUAUACCCACUUCAAUGUCCAAAGCACGACGGCAAUAGGAUGUCGCAAUUUGUGUGCGGUCUGCUUCAAUUCAGCGCAAAUCUACUCCAUGUAUCUCUGAACGUAAAUUGUUGGUCACCACGUCAUUGUCCUAUCCUGACCAAAUCGAUCACACUACAGGAAUUCUUCCAUGUAUCCAUUAUCUAACGAUGAUCAUGGAAACGUUCUAUUUUACUCCUAAACAACCUAGUCCGGAUCCUUAAUUCUUUACUUAUAUUUAGUUUUCUUUGUUUUCUACGAUUUAUCUAUGAAUUCAAUUUGGGGCAACCAGAGAGGACUAUCUAUACUUUUUUCCAAGUUUAAGGGUCAAUAUGUGCCUUCUCCAAACUAUGGGCGGAAAAUGCCCUUAUUUUAGUUCUUAAAGAAUUAUAAAAAAAAUAAAAUAAAUGUUUUUAAGCAUUUUAAUUUAAAGGAUUUCACAAAAAAAAUUAAGUAAAACAAGAAUAAAAUAAAAUAGGAAGAAUAUAGGUCGUUCCAAACACGGACUAAGAUUUCAAAAGACAAUAAAAAUAUAUACAAUUUGGAAAAAAAAUUAGGAAAAAAAAAUUACAUUUUGCUAUUUUGUUGAAUCGAGCAUAAAGACAAAUGAUCGGUAGACCCUUUUGCAUUGCGUGCAUUAUUUGGCUUUGCGACGACGUGCAUUAUUUGGCUUUGCUUUGUCGUCGCAAUUCAUUCUUUAAAUGUACAUAAAUGAAAUCGGAUCUCCAUUGGUAUGUUGGUGGUUAUAAGACCACAUCAAAAGGCCCAUCAUAAUGAUUGGCGAGAGUGCACGCAUGUAUGCAAAAUCAUCCAAGCAAAUUGUUGGUGGGAUAUGAUUGUUCAAAAAUUUAUAAAUUUAUUGUACAAUAGUCAAUUCAGUUUUCAAUUUUUCAGUUGUGCCAAUUGAAUCAUAAUCCUGUAUUGAUUUAUCAAUUUAGUUUUAAACUUUCGAUUUUGUCAAUUAGUUCUAAACCUUUUGAAAAUUUCUCAAUUUUGUCCUAAACUUUUUGAAGAUUUGUCAAUUUAGUCCUACAUGGCAUGGUUGAAUGCUGAUGAUGACAAAUUUAUUUUUUUUAUUUAAUUUAAAAAUAUUUUAUUUAUUUCUUUUUUCUUUUCUUUUCUUUUCUGAUUCAUGGUUAAGGGCAGUGGCCGGAGGCCCAACUGCCCAUUGCGUUGCGAAAAGAAAAAAAAAAUACAAAAUGUGACAUAUGGCAUUACGACUAAAAAAUUAUUCUUCUAGAUAUUAAAAUUCGAGAUUAUUUUUUUGGACAAAAAUGCAAUGGAAAAGAAACAUUGUUAAGGAGGGAUUUAGAAAGAUCGAGUCAAAUCGAGCACAAGAAAUGGAUGGCGCUUGUCUAAUUGGAGUUGCUUUCCAAUGGAUCCUAGAUGGCUCAUCUUGCGGCUCAAAUUCGUCCCCUCCUUUUCGAUCCUACUCACAUUCCCAUCAAUACCAAAAAAAAAAAAAUUAAAAAAAAAUGACAAUUUUGAUCGACGUCAUAGCACAAGGACGAUAGAAUAUUGUAAUGUCACAAUUCAUGUCUUUUAGAAAUCAGCCAACAAGCAAAUUGGUGGUAGACCCUUUUGAUUGCGUGCAUUAUUUGGCUUUACUUUGUCCUUCCAAUUCAUACUUUAAAUACGCAUAACUGAAAUCGGAUAUCCCUUGGAUGGCGCUGGUCGAACGACCCCAUGAAAGGGCCAUCAUAAUGAUUGGCAAGCGUGCAUCCAAGCCCUUCUAAUUAAGUUUCUAUCAAGAUGCAUGCAUGCAUGCAAAAUUAUUGCAGCGAAAUAUUGGUGGGAUAUUUCUAAUGCAUCCAUGCAGAGCACAUUGCUGAUGUCAUACAACGAGCAACUAAGGACAGAAAAGAGACGGCCAACCUAUGUGGCACAAGAAAUUGAAAGCUUUAGGUCCAAGAUGGCAUAAAUGCAGUAAUUUUAAGACUUAUUGAUAAUUUUCUUGAACUAGUUUGAUACCCUUCGACAAAAAAGAGACAAUUUGACAAUCAAACUGAUCCGGUCACAAUAUUACCUUAAUUUGGUUCAAUUUAUCUCUAGCAAUAACUCAAAUGAAACUAAUAACUCUUUAACUCUUAACAAUUGUAUAACAAUCCUGAAAACUCAAAUAUCAUCCAAGACCUAACCAAUUCGGUCAACCUGGAUCACUCGUCGUGCCGUGCACAAAUUUUUAUCCUCUGGAAGUUUUAUUUUUCGAGUCCAAUUUAUGUCUCUAACAUUUUCAGCUACAAGUCCAAUGCAUUCAAAUCGAGUUGAAUCACAUCAUGAGAAGAAAUUAUAAAGAGACAACGGUACGGAGAAAAGGCACACCCACAUUUUUGGCAUUUAUAGCGGUACAGAAAAACAUUGAGGAUCAAAUUGAUAUGCCACAAUUAUACAAGGCAUUUUAAAAUUAAAUUACCAGAUCAAAAUAUAUUCUUUUUGCUUGGUAAUCAAAUUAAUGUAUUUUAUGCAAUAGGAUAAGGUAUUAUUAAUAUGAGAAAAUUUUAAUUUCAGUUUUAAAUUUAUUGUAGGGAUUUUUAACGUAGUUCUGAAUCUUCUAAUUGUUGUAAUAAGUUCUAAAUCUUUAUGUGAAAUUGCUGACAUAAUGAUAUGGUUAUUGUCAAUCGUACUAACCGCUAUUGCCAUGGUUGGCGAUCGAAAAAUGAAAUGGAUGAUAAAGAAGGGCUAAAAUGUUGGACGACAAACUCGAUAGAAGCAAGGGGACUUUGGCCUUCGGCAUGUUGCGUGCGUGUUUUCUUCGAGUGCUGACCCUGAGAUUGUCCGCUCGUGUGCCAACUCCGCCACACGCACCGCCACACGCGCCGCCACUUCAGGCGCGUGAUACUCCCCUUGGAAUUUAUGAGGGCUCGGCGGAGGCGGCUGCUUGGUUGGGAGGCUGGGGAGAGAGAGAAGGGAGUGUGAAACGCCAUCGUUUUGCUAACAGGUACAUGUUAACGAAUGGACCAACCACGUAAUAAUAAUGGGAUAAAUUUGAAGUGAAAAUGAAAGGUUGGGCACAGAUUUAAAGGAUCAAGGUAUUUUUUAGAAGUUAACUAAAAGUCAGCUUAUAUUAAGAUAUUUACCCUGCUAUUUUCUAUUCUAGUGAUUUUUUUUUCUAAUUUUAUGUAUUUUGUAUUGAAUAUUUUCUCAACCCUAACCAUGAUUAGUAAAAGAUAAGGGUAAUCAGUCUCAAGAUAGAUACAUUUUAGAUCAGCAAUCAUUCCGGAUCAAGAAUUGAGAACCUACUCUGUCGAAGCAGCUUCCCAAUUGCCUGCUUAUGCUAAAAUGAUCGACUUUCUUAUUUUUUUGUAAAGAGUUCUCGAUUAAGUAAUUUUUAGGGUUUGGUUUAAGGCCAAAACCAAUCGGUUCAAGCCCAUGAAACUGGUCAAGGCUGGCUCUCAAAUUUUCAACUCGGAAAUUAAAUUGGCACUCGUGUGAACAUAUUUGUAGUCAGCUAAGUAAGAUUGGUACAAACCCCAAAUAAAGGACAACCCACGAGUUUGUCAUGCUUCCCCUAACCUUUUCAUUAUUGAACAUGAUAAUAUCAGACCAAAAAGGAAAAGAACACAGGAAUCAAAUUUUUCAAUGACACUUGAACUUGACAGGGCCAUGAGACAUGACGUGCGUGGAAAGAAGCCAUUUUUCAACGUCCACCUAAAAAAAAGACAGCCAAUAAUUUAAUUUGAUUGUCCUAAUCAAAGAGGAUGUUUAUCUAUAUGGACCGAAAACUGGAAACUGUCCAAUCAGGACACGAUGGUAACAAUUUUGGUCACGCAGAUAUAGUUGUUGACGCCUCAAAUUUUAAUUAAGUUUAUUUUAUCUUAUUAAUUAAGUUUUUAUUUUAUUUAUCUUGUCUUUUUUCGAAAUAAAAACAGCAAAAGAAAACAAAAGAAAAGCAAAAAAGCAGCCCAUUGGGGCUGGGCUCGAAGGCCCAGCCCCUCCCCUCUUUUCCUCUCUUUCCCUUCGCGCAGGCCCGCGAGGCCCAGCCGCGUGGCUAAGCCCGACCCCUUCUCCUUGUCUUCUUCCUCCCCUGUCUUCUUCCCCAAACUAGAUAAGUAGCACGCGCCGGAGAGAAGGACGCGCGCAACGCCGGAGCAAAGUGGAGGAACAGUAGCGCACGUGGAGCAGGGGGGCGGCUGGCGUCGGAUAAGAACGUGGGAGGGGCAGCUGGCGUCGGAUGGGACGCCGGUUCGGCCGGCGGAGGCCGCUUGGCGCACGGGGACCGGCGGUCGAAGCUCCGUUGACCGGCUGCCCCUCGCCUAUAAAUAGGCCCUCGUUUUCGUCGUUGAGAGGGCACGCCGAGAAGGAUCGAAGGCCGCAGAUCCUCGAAACCUCCCACUGAGAGACUUCAGAACGGGGGGCCGAGGACGAGCACGCCGAGAUCCAAGGUCGGCCGGAGAAGCGAGCGCAGAGACGCGCGGAGGAAGGAGAAAGGGAGAGGGAUCGAGGUCGCGACCUUUGGACACCCCACUGAGAGACUUCAGGGGGGCCGAGGGCUCGCGGCUUCGGAUCUGGGUUCUGCCGGAGGGAGGAGUAAAGGAGAGAGAGAGGAAUCGAAGCAAAGAUCGAAUGCUUGCGAGCGCCGGAAGCUUCCCUCGAGAGACUUCGAGGGAGGUCCGAACGCCCGCAAGCCUAAAGGAGGUCCGAGCCAUUAGCCUCCUUUAGGCGCUCGUACCCGAUCGUGGGCGCUGAAAAAAAAAAAAGAGGUCGCAACAAUAGUUAUAUUAUUUUUCAAUAAAAAAUAGUAAUUAUAGAUACAUAACUGUAUAGCAUUCGCAUUGUAAUAAUGGCAUCCCCCUAUUUAAAAAAAAAAAAAAAAAAAAACUAAUCACUGCCUCUUCCGACCAUGUAAGGUUUAAUUAUGCUUCCAAAAUGAUGUAAGUCUCCCACUUGUCAUUAUCAUAUGUGAUAUUAAAAUAGAUACACUAACUACCUAAAACCUUAUCUUUCAAACACAUCUUUAAAUUCGAAUGUGAUGGACUUUAAGUAAUUUCGAUUUUAAAUCGUAUGUGAUUGUUCAUUUAUCAUUCCAUACUUGCUAAAACUCGUUAAUGCGUGAUUGUUUAUUUUGUAUCGUGGCCGUGACAUGGAAGUGACCUGACGGCAACGCUCUCUAACCUUAGCUGGAACUACAAAAAUAUGCUACAUCAAGAAAAGAAAGGAAAAAAAAAAGGAACAAGGAGGAAGGUGAAAUUUUAGAUGAACAAUGAGAAAAAGAGCUUGAGGUACAAAUGACAGUUGCCUUAUUAGACUUGCUCUCGAAUGGAUCUUUGAUGGCUAGUGUCAUGGCUCAAAUUCAUCCUCUCUUUUUUCGACCCUACAAUCCUUACCAUCCAUGCCUAACCUCAUUACAUCUAGAUGUAGCCCUUUGGUCAUAGAUCACCAAAAGAAUAACAAUUUGUUCAACACAAGGACGUUCGAAUGUCACAAUUUGUGUGCUAUUUGUCUCGAUUUGAUCUAAAUUUGUUCCAUCCAUCUCUAAACCUAACUUAUUAUUGGUCACCACGUUAUUGACAUAUCAUGACCGAAUCGAUCACGCAAUUGCGACUUGCGAUGGAAGAGUCCUGUAUUUUUAUUAUACUAGUUGAAUUCUUCCAUGUAUCACUUUUCUAACGACAAUAAUGGAAACAUUCUAUUUUACUACUAGAGUAUCUGAUCCUAGUUCUUAAUUCUUUAUUUUAGUUUUCACUUUGUGUUCCAGCAUUGUUGUAACUGUAUCUAUUAUAAUUUGGAGAUGCAAAGAUGUCAUUCUAAAACUUCUUUUGAAGUUUGAGAGUCAAUAUGUAAAACAUAAAGUUAAACGAAAUAAUAAUGAUAUAAGCCACUCCAAACACGUACCGAGAUUGAGAAAGUAUGAAAAUAUGUAGAAUUUGGAAUAAACGUUUGGAAAGAACAAUUUUUAUUUUUAUUUUUUUGCUAGUUCGUGGAAUCGAACAUAUUUCAAAUGACUGGUAAGGUGUUGGUUAUAAGACUAUAUCAAAAGCCCAUCAAAAAUUUUGCCGGGCGUGCGGUGCAUGCAUGCAAAACUAUUCAAUCGAAUCAUCAGUGGAGAUGUAUUAAAUGGUGAAUAUUUCAAUAAUAUUUUGAAUAUUUACAAUAAUAGCUUUGAUAAAAAUUAUGAUCGCAUUGAAAACUGUAAUUAUUUUUAAUUGUCAUAUAAUAGUUUAUUAACGGUCGGCUUCAAUCACUUUGUAACAGUUAAUUUAUUUCUCAAAUAAAUCCUCCAUUAUUUUACAACGGCUCUUUUAAUGGCUUUAUUUUGUUUGAAUAUAAAAAUAAAAUCCAUAAGAUAAUCUUGAUAUAUAUACUGAAUGAAAGAGAGAAUAUCAUUAUCUUUAAAAAAUCUUUCAUUUCCUUUUUCUUGCCUAGUUAUACAUAAUGCUAUUUCUGUUCCUUGUAAUAUUUAGUGCGGAACAUGAUAAAAGAUCUGUUGUAUCUUGAGAGGGUAGUUGCCAAAACCCUAUCGUACCGAGUUUCACACUCUGAGGAGUGGAAUUAUUUUUAAAGAUAGUGCUUGCAAUUGUACACCUCAUACAAAUUUAUUUAUUUUCAUUAGCUUUUUCCAACAUUUAAUGCAUCAAGGAACAAAUAAUGGAACAGAUGACUCGAGAAAUAAUCUCUUUGAAGUGUUAGUCAACAACUUGAAUGCUAUCAAUAGCUGGCUCUUAACGAUUAUAAACCUGUAAAAAAUGGGUGAUAAAUCAAACUUUUUAACCUAUAUUUGAUGGAUUAGGUUAUUAAAUAGGUUAGUUAUAUUCAGUAAAUGAAUUUAGAAUUGUAUACACCCAAAAUAAGAUAAGUGUUAAAAUGGGUUCACAACUUACUUAGAUUUAACUUGUCUCUAUAACUUUCUCACCGUCACUCAAUCUUGCACUUGCUUACUUCGUAUUCUCACCUCAAUUUGGGUACGAGUUUUCUAAAAUUUAGUUAAAGAUGCACUAUAUGGGUCAAGUAUAGACUACUAGAUUCAUUUUUGAGUCGACUCAUCCGUUGUACGAGUCUAGUGACUACAUAACAAUUGCGGAAGCUCGAAUCCAAUAUCUAAUCCACAAUGUUAACUUUUUCAAUCAAUUACGAUCACUCAUGCCAUGCUCAAAUUUUCAUCCUCCACGAGUCUUUUUUUUUUUUUUCCUGUAACUCCAAUUUAUCUCUCUAACUUGUUCAGCCGUGAGUCCAGUUCACCGCAUGCAUUGAAAUCAAAGCUAAACCAUGCCGUGCAAAGAAGGCGUGGCCAAAGCGGAUAAUGAAGAGAAAUAACAGCAAUAAGGACACGUGGAGUGAAGAUGGACGAGAUGUACGGAGAAAGCCACCUUCGUUUGGCAUUUACAGCGGUAAAAAAACUUCCUCCUUGUUUCAUAAAGCUACCACAAUAACGUUAGGUAAGUCAAAAUUUAUUCACCUUAUUAGAAUAUAUUCUUUUUUUUUUCUGGGUUUCAAAAUAAUCUGGCAUAUAUUAGAUUAACAUGUCAAUCUUAAUAUAUAGGGUUAAUAACAUUAAAAAUCUCAAAUUGGUACUUCAAAAAUAGUAAUAUAUUUACUUCAAAUUAAUUUUUCAUUUUUCACAAAUAUACCAAAUUGGCAUUCCUAACUCGAACUCACCAUAUGUUAGCAUUUUGUUUAAUAUCCCAUUAAAAUGCAUAUUGUCAACGCACAAAUUACAAAUCCAUCUUGCAGUAUUCUAUCAUGUCACGUAUGCAUUUUAGUGUCGGGCAUAUUUGGCAUAACGGUAUCAGUUUGAAAUUCAUUUAUAGAGAGAAUUUUUUCCUUUUUUUCUUUUUUUUUUUAUAAUUAAUGUCUCAUGGAUAUAUAGGUUCGAAAUUUUUCUGUGAAAUGAAACUUAGUCAGAGUAGUAUUAUAAAGGUAUUGUUUCAAGAUUUUAAUGGAAUUAACCCUACUAUGCAUUCCUCAAGCUAGGAUGACUCCAGAAGAAAUUCAUCAAGGAAAAAAAAUACUCCAAAAUAUUUUUUCAGACAGGACCCUUUGAACAUUGUCCCAGCUUGAAGGGACCCACUCAACGGUGUAUGAGACGUCGACACGUGUAAAAUAGGUUUUUUUUUUUUUCCUUUUUGGUAAGGUUUUUACACUCCAUAUUUUUUCCAAUUGCUAUGGGAAUACCGUUGGUGUAAAAUAGUUCAAAAAAUCGAAAAAUCGAAAAAUCGAGGGGAUAAGGAGGAGGAAGGAAGAGUGGGGAAGACGUGGUCACGCGGGUGAGGGGGUGGGGAUGUUUACAACGCCUGACGACAAACAUGGUGAAAGCACGUGGGCGUGUUUUAUUCGAGUGUUGACCACGAGGAUGUCCGCUUGUGUGCCGACUUCGGCCGCGCGGGCCACUCGCCUUGCACAUAUUUUUGAGUUAAUACCACGGACCUUUUUUUUUUUUUAAUCAAAUUCAUAAAAAAAAUUAAAUUGAUAAAUUUGUAAUAAUUUACUCUAAAUUCAUUUUUUAACCAGUAAAAAUGUCAAACUAGUAUAUUUGCAACAAAUUUAUUCUUCUUUGGGUUUCGCUGAAUUUUUUCAUUCCAAUUUCUGAGUUAAAUCAUAGAUGAUAAUUGAUAGGUGUACUAGUUUGAGAUUUUAUUCUCGACAGUUGUAGCAAUUUGUGAUUUUACAUAGAAACUAAUCUAGGACAAAUUUGUCACAUGCAUACAAAUUCGUCCAAAAAAAAUUAAUUUAUAGUAAAUUUGUCACAAAUUUAUUAAUUUGAGAUUUUUCGUGGUAUUAACCAUAUACUUUUUUUUUAUUGUCAUGUAGAUGAGAUAGUUUAUAAUGACAAUAUCGAUGAUUAUCCAUGAAGAACAAUAAUUUUUUUUUUAUGAUUUAUAUGAAAAAUUACAUAUAUUUUGUGUGAGUUUCUAUUGGAUAGUCAUGAAUUUUGCUGAUAAUUAUUAGUUUAUUGGGAAAUAAAUAAAUAAAUCAUCCGUGUUCCAUCCGUGCAAAUUGGCUGACGAAGACUUGAGAGUGCAAAAAAGAUUAUAUUCAAAAUGAUAUAUAAUAUUAUAGUUUGUUCGGUCAAUUGUUGACUUCAAUCUCGCACGAUUUGUCACCAUCGCACGUGUUGGCCACCGCAGCCUAAUUAAUUUGCAUGAAUGAGUCGUCUGUUUCAGUAAUGGGCAUGCAUCGUAUCAAUUUUUUAUUAUUAUUUUUAUCUUACAAGUGAUUAGUGGAUGUCGCUUUGAGUUAUUGUCAUCUGCAAUUUUCAAGACAUUGAUGAUCUUACUUAGUACUGUCGACAAUCGUCUUAAUGGAAUAAUCAAACUGCUCAAAUCGUAAACUAUUUUGGGUUAUUCGACUAUACUUACUCAAUCAAGUGGAUUUCCUCGUGCAAUGUCAAAAUCAUGUUUUGUCACAUCUGAUAUCUUUCAUAGUUAGAAGGAAAAGGAUCGAGAAAAGGGCAGAGAAAAGGGCAAAUUCCAAGUAAAGUAGGAUUCUUCCUUUUGCGAAAAAUAAAGGGUUAAUUCUUAAAAAACCUCAAAUUUUAGGUUUAAUCUCAAUUUUAUUUUGACUUUUUUUUUGUCUCGGAAAAAAUCCCAAACUUUAGGUUUAGUCCUAAAUCUUCCGUGAACUUUUUUUUUUCUUACCUUAGAACAAAUCCAAACUUUAGGUCUAGUUCCAAAUCUGCCCCAAAAUUUUUAUUUAUCCCAGAAAAAACCCCAAACUUUAGGUCAAAUUCUAAAUCUACCUUAACUUCUUCUUCUUCUUCUUCUUCUUUGUCAAAAAGAAAAUCAUCAAUUUUAUUUUAGUCCUAAAUUUGCAUCCAUUAGCCAUCUAUCCAAAGUCGUGAUUAGUGUCCCUAAUUUUUAUAUCCUAUAACAGUUUUAUUUUUAAGAUAAUUUUCCUUGUCGUAUUACCAAUGUAUAUUUAUUAUCAAUGUGGAAAAACCACAUUAAAUUGGAAUUGGACCACGCAGUAAAUUUGAAUAUAUAUUAAAAGUUGGUGAUUUUAUUUUAGACAAAACAAAAUUCAUGACAUAUUUGGGAUUGGACCUAAACUUCAGAUUUUUUUUUUUUUUUAAGACAAAAAAAGUUCGGGACUGGAUCUAGAGUGAUAACCAGUAAAUUCAACCCGUUGAGAAUGCACGGAAUUUUCCAUGUAAAUGAUAUUAUUUUAUUUUCAUGAUUGUGCGCGUGUGCGUGGGGGUGUAUAUAUAUAUAUAUAUAUCACCGGGCAAGUAUAGAAAAAUCGUACUAAGCCAUAAGUCACAGAGAAACAAAUGCGCUACAGAAUUGCUAAAAAGGAUUUGUGAUUAUUGGACAGUAAGCGAUGAACGCAAUCAAGGAACGGUAUCAAUGUUCAUAGGUUGAGAGAUGUGUUGGACCAGUCAGUCCACUCGAACGAAACAGUACACCCUCGCCACCAAGAAUGUCCCAGUGUCCAAACCUCGGUCCUUUUGCAUUCCCGUGAAUACGAGCCGUGUGGUCGCUACGGCGGACCCCCUCGUACCCAUGAUCCAAAACUUCCGAUCCAAGCUCCUCGGGGCGGAAAUUUCUUGCUUAGAUCCGAACCUAACAGGUCGAGCGCACGACGGUCGUUGAUCUCACGGAGGGAUCGACGGUUGUGAUUCAAUUACUCUUACUAGACGCCUGUCAAGGCUAAGUAUUAGUCAUUGUGGUCCGGGGGGGGAAGUCAGUCGAAAAUGUCUUGCGCUGUCCUAAAAUGGUGCCUAUUUUUCACCCACUGCGCGACAGCUUUCUCUUUGUUCCUUUGCUUCCGGACCGGCGAGCCACCCCAUCAUUCAAUGUAAGAUAAGAUAAAGAAGCAAUGUUGUAGGAUGAAUGGCAUUAUCGUUUUGUGAUAAUUGGCUGAUUCUUGUUCCUAAUCUAAAGGGAUAGUAAUAUCUCACUUCUUUUAAGGAAUAUUCCCAAAACACUUCAUUAAAAUAUAUUAAAGAAAAAUUAUGUUCGAUUUUUGAAGUAUUAAUUAUACACGUCGCAAGCAUGCGUAGCGAGUAACCUUAAUGCAUUACCCGUGUUUAGUUAUUUAACAAGCGUUGCACAUACACUUUUAAGAAAAUUAAUAACAAGGUUUUAGGCUAAAGUCUUGUGCUUGCUAUUUGACAUAUAUGAAUAUUUCAUUUGAGUAUUUGCAAUGGCAGAUCGGCUUUGUUAGUAAAUAAAUUAGGCGAACAGCAUAAGUUUGAUUUUUCACAUCACUGAAAAUAAUAUUAAUAAUAACAAUAAUCCAGUGCGUAUCGGGCCAGCCACUCGAAACUCGAGGAAAAACUUUGGUUGACAUUUUAUUAAACCUUAAAACUAGUGGAUGUAUCAUUAGGUCGGGGAUUUAUCUAGACAUUCCUCUUCACAAGAAAAUAUCUCCCAUGUAAAUAACUUUUUCACACUUAAUCAUGGUCGACAAUUUUUAAUAUGGUGUCAUAAAGGUACUUGAAAUUCACGUCACCUCAGCUUGUAUAGAACAUCAUGAUUUUGAUAAUAAAAUCAAACAAUUAAUUAGCAAUGAACACGUGCCAAUUCAAAUCAACGUACGAAUUAAGUGUAUCUUCUCGCUUUAUAUCAAAUUAUUUCCUUUAAUUUCGUCUCUUGUCCGGAAUGGUGAUCAUAUCGUGCAAAAUGGGUUGUGUCCAAAAAUUAUGAGCGCGAAGACCUUUCAAGGGAGUCUGUGCGCUCCAUUAUUUGAGAUGAGAACACAGAAAUUUGGAGAAAGAAACCAAAACAUGAAAGGGAGUUUAUUUUGUCGGGUCUACACCCACUUCUAGGACAAGGGGGAAGGCCUUGGGAAGGAGGAUAAUGCUCACACAUCCUUUUUGACUAUCCCUUAUAUGCCAGCUAAUGAAACAACUGGAUUUAUUCUGACCCCCCAUGGCGUACCACACGGUCCUUCCCCUCCAUACCCCUUAACUUCUUCCUUGGAGGCCGCCCAAUAUCUGAGGUCACCAUCCCUCUCCAUCGAUACAAACAUGAACAGCUCCCCCCCCCCCUGUGGUCCUCAAAAUUCCCCCUUCUUUCUCAACUUUGAUUAUGAUGGGAUUCUUGGCUUGCCACUCCCAAACAAGAAAUGGAAAUUGGGUCUCUUGCUCUUUCCUUUGCUUUUAAAGAUUUUUACCAGAUGGUCAGGUUUUGUCGAUAAGUGUCUUGAGAUACCGGUUACUUGUAUUUUACAAAGAGCUGCAUGAUGACUCUACAUAACAUGAGAAAAGUUGUGCAUCAUAAAUAGGAAUCUUUCCUUAUUUGGAUAUUCAGUAAGUGUCCUCGAACAUGGUUCUAAUUUCAUAUAUAUAACGUCUUCGAUGAUAAUAUAUAUAUAAUCGAUAUUUUAUAGAUAAGAUACUUUAUCAUGAACCAUGUUUGGACACUUAUUAACUAGAUUCUUUACAGGCAACAUCAAAACUCUUAACUUCAAAGAGCAUUAUAUACAUAUAUGUGUGUUUAUAGAUACAUACAUAUAUAUAUAUAUAUAUAUAUAUAUAUAUACAUACAUACAUAUAUAUAUAUAUAUAUAAUUUAUUUUGACUUUUUAAAUUUAUGAGUUAUUAAUCAAUUUUUCAUUAUGACUUAUAGCUUAUUUAAUUUUUAAAAAUCAUGAAAAGUAUAACGGAAAUGUAUUUAUAUAACUUGAAAGAAUUUUUAAUAUUUGUUGAAUAAAGAUAAAAUCAAACCAAGUCUAUUAAUUUACUAAGGAUUUUGAAAAGUACCCCCGAUAUUUGAUAAGAUGAAUUAAUUAUGUUUCGAAACUUGCAUUUCUAUUUAUGCCCUCAUAAAAAGAGAAUGAAUUUCCACUAUUCAAUGUUUUUAAACAUGUUUUGAUAAUUGAUCUCUCUUUCACAUUCUUGCCAAGUGUCCUUAAGGCACUUAUGAGCAAGACAUUUGUUUUUUUUUUUUUUUAAAGUCAAAGCACUAUUAAAAAAAACAAAAUGUGUCUCGCUGACGAGCGCUUUUCAUGGGACUUGUAACUUAAUAAGAAAAUAUUUCAAUUUUAAUACUUUGAUAACACAUAAAACAAGAGCAAUGAUAUAUGGGCAAUUCUAAUAUUUUGGGACAACUACAUAAAUAGUCCAUAAAUUCAUACUCAAUGUACAACGUUAUUCUUGAACUUUUAACUUAUUUAGUGUGAUUCAUAAAUUUUAUCCUAAUAUACAUUGACGUGACUAAACUAUUAAUUUGUUCAACUUUUACAUGUUCAAUCAAGAUAUGAAUCAUUGAUCUCGCCCCUUCAACUUUGAUCUCUCCCUCCCCCUCUCUCCCUCUUCAAAUUUCAGCUUUUCCCGUCUCUUCAACUUUUGGACGGGAGGACUCUCCCUCCCUUCCCUCAUUGCUUUUCCUUUUAUUUUUUCUUGUUUUUGUUUUCCCUUACUCUCCCAAUCUAGUCUUAGAUUUAGGAACUUUACUCUUCAUAUUUUAAAUUUGGAAGCUUUUCUCUCCAAUUUAAUUAUAGAUUUAGGAAUUUUAAUAAAUAAGUACUCAACUUUUAGUUUUAAUGGUAUUUAUGAUAGCUUUGAUGUCAAAUUUGUGCUCAUUUAACGUAUUUUUGUUAAAAGCUUUGGUGUCUUGCACUUGUUGAAGGGCUCACUUUCGUGGGUAUUAGAUCCGAGCUUGUUCAAAAUGUUUAUAUUGUCUCAGUACAAUGAUGAUGUUGGGGAUAUCAAACCUAGGCACAUGUUGUUAAAAGGCCAAGCUGUAACUUCUAUUAGAGAUUUUGUAUAUGCUCAUCACGGAUGAUGAUGUUUGAUUCAGUGAUUGGCAGUGAUUGGCUGUCGAUCUUUUUGUUUGGAUGUCAUGACAAAUCCAUUUAUAAAGGACAAGGGUAUGAUAAUCUUCGCCAACUGUGCUCUGAUGAUGUACUGGGAUUUCUUGUUGUUGGUUUAUUUUGGAGCUCUACGGACUUACCUUGUUAUGAUGACUUUUGAGAUCUCCCAUAAAUCCGUUCAUGUAUUAUUUUGGUAAUGAAUGAACAUUUCUUUUACAAAAAAAGAAAAGAAAAGAGUUAUCACUGAAUUUGAAUUAAUAAAAAGAUAAUAUUGAACAUUUUCAUAUAAUAUAAAUAUUCAAUUAAAAAUGUAUCAAAAAUUUAAAGACUAUAUUCAAUAAAUUAAAAAUUCAGCGAGAACAUUACAAAUUAAGUUAAAGUUUGUAAAAGACAUUGAAUAAAUAAAAAAUUUAAAGGGAGGGCCCCCCCGGGGGGAAUUCGGACCUUUUGCAGAGAAAACAAAAGACAAAAAGAUGUGAGAAGUGAAAAUGAUGCUGAUUGAGACAAGAGAGAGCGUCAGUGCAGAAUUUAGAGCGCAACUGUGCAAAUUAAUGCACGAGCUCAUCCAAUCAAUCAGGCAAAGGUCGUGUCUAAUCGUACCUAAUCUAAAUUCGUCCCUUUGCGGUUGAGCAAACAGUCUCUCUCCUCUUUGGAGAAAACACGGCCAUGUACGAUCUGAUCCGGCACAGCGUGGGUCGAGAUUGGACUGAAGUCAUGAGCUGAUGCGUCGUAUUCAAUCAGAGCCUCGUCUUUUCCCCUAACCCUUUCUUUAGAAGGGUGUAGAAUAAUAGUAAGGGGAAAAUUAAAAGAUAUAAAAAGAAAUGGGUGGAGCAUUGAGAAAAUUCUACUCUCUUUAAAUCGAAGAUAGAAUGUGACCAAAAACAAAUCAAAGAUUGACAAGGGGUGUGCAUAUUUCUUGGUCCAAUCCAAAAAUUAGAAUGGUCUGAACCUAGUCAAUGAUUUCUGGGCGGCUCUUGAGGGGACUAUAAUUGAAUUGAUUGGAACCAAACCUCAAAAGUAAAUUAUUUUUUCUUUUGAUGUUGUGAAACUCCACUUUGUAGGGAAUAGAAGAAAUAAAGAAGAAGAAGAAGAAGAAAUCAAUUAUUUUAUGAUUCCACAAACUAGGUACCCAUCUUACCUAAUUCCACAAACAAGGUACCCAUCUUGCUCAAUUCGAUUCCAAAUUUUAAGGUGGUUACUAACUCACCUCGAAACCAAUCACUCAUGGUAAGGGGGCAAGGAAUUGAAGUGAAAUGACAAUUCCACCCUUGGCUUUCGCGACGAAUGCCAAUUCAAAAGUUCUUGUAGAGCUUAUUUGAAAAGAAAAACAUAUUGUUUCUUCCAAUUUUUUAAUGACAAGUUAAGUAUUUUCAGAUCCAAUCAAAAAGUUUCCAAGGCCCGAAAACCUCUAGAUAAUUGAUUAAUAGUGUCUAGAGACUAAAAAGGAAUCCCCAUUAGAUCGAGGUUAGGGUUGUGUUUUAAAAUAGCAUACUUGUCUCGGAUUUCCAUUAAAUCUAAAACUGUAGAUAGAGACAAAUAAUACAAUUAUCACAUCGAUCUAUUUGUACAACUAUUUUAUUAAUUAAUAUAUCAAUGAUGAUCGGUGUGGAGAAAUUAUUUUCCAUUGGAACUAAAAUAACAAGUCAUAUUUCGUAUUUAAUAGUUUGAAUUCUAAGAUGUAAAAUUCAAGGUAUUCCCAGGAGAGAAUAAAUAAAAACUUUUCUACCUAAUUGGGAAUUGGGGCAUGUUGGUGAAAAUAAAGAGCACGAUCUUGUCAGCUCGCCAAAUUUAUUUGACAGAUGAGAUAGUCCUUAACAAAGCUCUUGAGCUCUUGAGUUGUAGUGACGUAAAAUUUUAAGUCUUUAACCACUGUCGGAUUCAUUGGUGGGGUAAAAAUUUAAUCAUUGUCGAGGUUCUACAACAACGGCCCACAAUAAUUUACAAAUUAAUAGUCAGCAUUUUUCAUUCUUUUGAUUUUUUGGUACCUAAGGAAUUAAGAAUCAAACAUAACGUCAACAUAUUAAUUUUUAUAUCAAGUUCUUUUUUGGGGGCCCCUCUUCAAAAUUGGCGUGCAAGGGUGGGUCUAUAACGCCUAAAGUCUCAGGGUCGACAUCAAAAGCUACUACGAGCCUCUCUGCCUUACAGCUCAGACCGCCACGUCAUCCCUACAGCCUGGCAGAGGCUCUCAUCCCCGCAUCCCCCGACCAAUCGCUUCACUCCACGUGGCGCUCCCUUUGACGUUGACCCUGAUCCUUUCUCUUCACGAGACUGUGUUUUGCCCACGCUAAUAAUUGCGCGCACGAGUAUCCUACGCGGCUACAUUGUACCGAAUACCUUAAAAAAAACCAAAAGCACGGACUUCCCCAAUUGGUGCGAAAGCAAAGACAUAAAAAUGGUUGUCGUUUUUCGUUUUCUUUUUCUUUUUUUCAAUUUAAAGAGAAAAAAAUAUUGACGCGACACUUUUUAUUAUAAAUAAUUUUUUGAGAAAAUUGAAAUGAAUGAACCAAAGAGGACAUGUUAGGUAUGCUCUUUUUCCCUUGCUAUAAAUUACUUUCCCUCGAUGUUAAAAUUAUUAUACACUUUUAACAGUUUUGAUAACAAUAAAUGUUGCAUCAUCAUUCGUGUCACCUACCCCCUAGAAUCUUGGGUAGGACGUACAUCUACGGCCAAUUUCGUGCAAGAGCAGGAGGUACUGUUUUUUUGGGAUCUUUUAAAGAAGGGACUAGUACUGUCUAGCACACAGAAUUUUUUUUUUCUUUCUUGGGGGGUUGUCUAGGCCUUAGAUUGAUUUUCUUUUGGGGGUUAUCUAAGGUGACAUGACAUUCAUAAUUUUUUUUUGUACUUUAUCUGUAUAAUACACUUUACUCAUCAUUUCUCGUUCGGCGAAUGAAUUAUUUUUAUAAUUACAACCAUGAAAUAUCUAUUGGACCCAAAUCAAUCCUAAUCAUUACGAUUAUGUAAAUGCUCUAAAAUUCAAUCAAAAAAAUUACAUUCAAUUUAAUGUUCAAGUUCAAAUAAAAAUUUCUUGUUCUAACAACGCAAAAAAAAAUCAAUUUUCACACGUAUUGCGCACUAUGGAUUAAACACAAUAUUUGACUUAAACGCAUCAUCACGUACGAACACUAUGAUAUCUAAAUUGGCCAUAUCUAUAUGUCUCGAAAUUGAUAUUGACUAUGGCCAGAAAUAAAGAAGAAAAGAAAACGAAUUUGAUAUAUAUCACAAAGUCACGAGGAUGCACAGAAGAUAAAAUAAAAAAUACUCGGCUAAUCUCUCACAGCUGUUUCCCUCUCCUCCUCUUCCCACUAUAAAUGCCCUCUCCCUUCGUAUUUUUUCCCACUCCUCUCUCUCCUCACUCUCUCUCUGAAAGCUUCGGGGCCGCGUCAAUGGCGUCUCGCUCUCUCGCUUUCCCUCUGUUCUUCCUCCUCUUCAUAUUCUUCUCAAGUUCCAUCUCCUCCUCCUCCGCCGCCCUGGUCCAGCAACAACCCCUCGUCCUCAAGUACCACCACGGAGCCCUCCUCAAGGGCAACAUCACCGUCGACCUCGUCUGGUACGGUCGCUUCACCCCCACCCAGCGCUCCGUCAUCGUCGACUUCAUCCGCUCCCUCGGCUACCCCCGCUGUCCUCCCCCCUCCGCCGCCUCCUGGUGGCGCACCACCGAGAAGUACAAGGGCGGCAGCUCCAACCUCGUCGUCCGACGGCAGGCCGUCCACGAGGCGUACACCCUCGGUAAGUCCCUCAAGAACCGCCACCUCCGCGCCCUCGCCAGCAAGUUCAACGCCGCCCCGGGCACCAUCACCGUCGUCCUCACGGCGGCGGACGUCGCCGUGGAGGGGUUCUGCUCGCGGUGCGGGACGCACGGGGCGGCCCGGCCCGGGUCGGCGUUCGUGUGGGUCGGGAACUCGGAGACGCAGUGCCCAGGGCAGUGCGCGUGGCCGUUCCACCAGCCCAUGUACGGCC
rnacentral:lncRNA from 1 species